rnacentral:rRNA from 1 species
UACGGGGGGGGGCAAGCGUUGUUCGGAAUUACUGGGCGUAAAGGGCUUGUAGGUGGCCAACUAAGUCAGACGUGAAAUCCCUCGGCUUAACCGGGGGAACUGCGUCUGAUACUGGAUGGCUUGAGUUUGGGAGAGGGACGCGGAAUUCCAGGUGUAGCGGUGAAAUGCGUAGAUAUCAGGAGGAACACCUGUGGUGUAGACGGCUUUCUGGACCAUAGCUGACGCUGAGACACGAAAAGCGUGGGUAGCAAACAGG